rfam:Capsicum annuum cultivar Zunla-1 chromosome 7, whole genome shotgun sequence
UUGUUUUAGGGAUGAAUAAGUCCCUGAUAAUUGAAUUCAUUCAUCUCUUUGUCAUCAUCACAAUGUUUGUGUUUUGAUAAUCAUUAUCGGAUGGUACAAUU